CCUACGGGAGGCAGCAGUGGGGAAUAUUGCGCAAUGGGCGAAAGCCUGAAGCAGCGACGCCGCGUGAGGGAUGAAGGUCUUCGGAUCGGAAACCUCUGUCAGCAGGGAAGAACGGUCACUGUGCUAAUCAGCAGUGAAUUGACGGUACCUGCAAAGGAAGCACCGGCUAACUCCGUGACAGCAGCCGCGGUAAUACGGAGGGUGUGUGCGUUAAUCGGAAGUACUGGGCGUAAAGCGCUCGUAGGCGGUAUGUCAAGUCAAGGGGGAAAUCCCCGCGCUCAACGUGGGAACUGCCUUUGAAACUGGCAAACUGGAGUGUGUGAGAGGAUAGUGGAAUGCCAGGUGUAGGAGUGAAAUCCGUAGAUAUCGGGAGGAACAUCAGUGGCGAAGGCGACUAUCUGGCACAUAACUGACGCUGAGGAGCGAAAGCGUGGGUAGCAAACAGGAUUAGAUACCCCUGUAGUC
rnacentral:rRNA from 1 species